GGGGCCGCUGACAAGAGUGGCAGAAGCAGGUUUCCACGCGAGCUCGUUCCUCUGCGUUCCGGCAGCCCUGCGUGAGCGUUCCGAGACCUCGCCCCCCACUUCAUGGCUUUUCAAAGAUCUAGAGUAAACUAAAAAAGAAAAAGAUGUUGAAGAACAGUUUUCAUGUUUGGAGUAGCUGAGUAAGGAGCUGUUUUGUGCUUAUAAAAGGACAAGGCUCCUCUGUGGAGACAUAUCUGGCUGGAGGGCUGCAGCAGGAAAUGCAAGAUGAGCUGGAACAUCUUGGUGUAAGGAAGUAAGGAAGUGCUCAGAGAAAAAAAUCCAUGUUGGUAGGAGCCUGUCAGAGGGCACUGGAGCCCACUGAAGCUCCCAUCAGCCAAAGCUAGAAUAGUGUGGGCAAGAAAAUACUGGAGCCGUGGAUUACAGCCCCUUGGACCAAGUGAUACCAUGGGCCCACCCUGAGAUACAGAAAUUACUGAAUGAGGCAUUACCUCGGGGAGAGGAAACGGCCUCCUGCGGGAGAGUCCUGAAUCAAUUCUGUAGGUAUUCCAGCUGAAGGAAGGGGAGCAUAACUCCCCCCUCCCUAAGUAUAGACUGGGAAAGGCGACUUCCUUCUAAAGAAUACAACAGAGAAAGGGAAUUUAAGUUCUCUACAGUGGAGAAACCCGGCACAGGUCCUCUCAGCCAGGUGAUGAAGGUUGACAUGAGCAAUGACGACGUGCUGCUGGCAGUGUGUCCCCUUGAAGCCCUGAGAGGAGAAGGGUAUUUACAUCUGUGAUCUUCCUCCCCACCCCCAGUUCCAGUCUAAUCAUGAGGAAAAUGCCAGGAGAGGGGCAUUGUACAAGAUACCCGGCCAGUCGUCCUCAGAACUGUCAAGGUCAUUGACACCAAGAUAAGCCUUAUCUCCAUAAAUCUGGAAGAAAAAAAAAACACAAAGACACAAACAACAAAACAAGGUAAGUCUGAGGAACUAUCCCAGCCAAGAGGAGACAUGACUGCUGAAUGUAAUAGGGGUUCCUAUAGAGAAUCCUGGAACAGAAAAAGGACAUUAGGUAAAAACUAAGGAAAUUUGAAUUGUAUGGGUUAUAGUUAAUAACAAUACAUCAAAAUACAUUCAUUAAUUGUAACAAAUGCACUAUCUCAAUAUAAGACGCCAACAGGGAAAACUGGGGAUGGGGAGAGAGGGGAUAUGGGAGCUCUCUACUGCUCAGUGUCUGUGUAAAUCUAAAACUAUUCUAAAAAAUAAAGUCUACUCAUUUUUUAAAACCUCACUACUUGUACACUUAAAAAAAAGAAAAAGUACAAAGUCUCUAAUCAGCAAAGCUAGGGUCCCGUGAGAUUUUUCCGUACAGGAAGGUGGAACCAAUUGCAAAGUUUUUUUAAUCUAUGCCUCUCCUAGACAAUUCUGGUUCAAAGCUAUUUAAAAAAAA